CCUACGGGGGGCAGCAGUGGGGAAUAUUGCACAAUGGGCGCAAGCCUGAUGCAGCCAUGCCGCGUGUGUGAAGAAGGCCUUCGGGUUGUAAAGCACUUUCAGCGGGGAGGAAGGCGGUGAGGUUAAUAACCUCAUCGAUUGACGUUACCCGCAGAAGAAGCACCGGCUAACUCCGUGCCAGCAGCCGCGGUAAUACGGAGGGUGCAAGCGUUAAUCGGAAUUACUGGGCGUAAAGCGCACGCAGGCGGUCUGUCAAGUCGGAUGUGAAAUCCCCGGGCUCAACCUGGGAACUGCAUUCGAAACUGGCAGGUUAGAGUCUUGUAGAGGGGGGUAGAAUUCCAGGUGUAGCGGUGAAAUGCGUAGAGAUCUGGAGGAAUACCGGUGGCGAAGGCGGCCCCCUGGACAAAGACUGACGCUCAGGUGCGAAAGCGUGGGGAGCAAACAGGAUUAGAUACCCUAGUAGUC
rnacentral:rRNA from 1 species